AGAGUUUGAUCCUGGCUCAGAUUGAACGCUGGCGGCAUGCCUUACACAUGCAAGUCGAACGGCAGCACGGGUGCUUGCACCUGGUGGCGAGUGGCGAACGGGUGAGUAAUAUAUCGGAACGUACCUUAUCGUGGGGGAUAACGCAGCGAAAGCUGCGCUAAUACCGCAUACGCCCUGAGGGGGAAAGCGGGGGACCGUAAGGCCUCGCGCGAUUAGAGCGGCCGAUAUCUGAUUAGCUUGUUGGUGGGGUAAAAGCCCACCAAGGCGACGAUCAGUAGCUGGUCUGAGAGGACGAUCAGCCACACUGGGACUGAGACACGGCCCAGACUCCUACGGGAGGCAGCAGUGGGGAAUUUUGGACAAUGGGGGCAACCCUGAUCCAGCAAUGCCGCGUGAGUGAAGAAGGCCUUCGGGUUGUAAAGCUCUUUUGUCAGGGAAGAAACAGCAGCUCUAACACAGUCUGCGAAUGACGGUACCUGAAGAAUAAGCACCGGCUAACUACGUGCCAGCAGCCGCGGUAAUACGUAGGGUGCAAGCGUUAAUCGGAAAUACUGGGCGUAAAGCGUGCGCAGGCGGUUAUACAAGACAGGCGUGAAAUCCCCGGG
rnacentral:rRNA from 1 species